rnacentral:rRNA from 1 species
UACAGAGGGCGCUAGCGUUGUUCGGAUUCAUUGGGCGUAAAGGGUGCGUAGGCGGCGCGGUAAGUCGGGUGUGAAAUCUCGGAGCUUAACUCCGAAACUGCAUUCGAUACUGCCGUGCUUGAGGACUGGAGAGGAGACUGGAAUUUACGGUGUAGCGGUGAAAUGCGUAGAUAUCGUAAGGAAGACCAGUGGCGAAGGCGGGUCUCUGGACAGUUCCUGACGCUGAGGCACGAAGGCCAGGGGAGCAAACGGG